rnacentral:tRNA from 2 species
GCGCCUGUAGCUCAGCUGGAUAGAGCAACUGACUUCUAAUCAGUAGGCCGGAGGUUCGAAUCCUCCCAGGCGCGCCA